rnacentral:rRNA from 1 species
AACGAACGCUGGCGGCGUGGAUAAGACAUGCAAGUCGAACGAUUACUAGUGGGUAGCAAUAUUCGCUAGUGAGAGUGGCGCAAGGGUGCGUAACACGUGGGUAAUUUGCCGUGAAGUCUGGGAUAACUUGCUGAAAGGCGAGCUAAUACCGGAUGUAAUUACUGGGAGGCAUCUUCUGGUACUUAAAGUCGGGGACCGCAAGGCCUGACACUUCUCGAUAAGCCCGCGGCCUAUCAGCUAGUUGGUGAGGUAACGGCUCACCAAGGCUAAGACGGGUAGCUGGUCUGAGAGGACGACCAGCCACACUGGAACUGAGACACGGUCCAGACACCUACGGGUGGCAGCAGUCGAGAAUUUUUCUCAAUGGGCGAAAGCCUGAAGGAGCGACGCCGCGUGGGGGAUGAAUGGCUUCGGCCCGUAAACCCCUGUCAUUUGCGAUCAAACCUCACGACUUAACACGUCGUGAGCUGAUAGUAGCGGAAGAGGAAGGGACGGCUAAC